AGCUUUGUGUGGUGGCAAUAUCAUAGCCAAUGAGGUUUAUCCAAGGUACAGUUAUUGCUAAUUGAAAAUGUUUCCUGCCAGGCGCAUUGGGUCAUGCCUGUAAUCCCAGUACUUUGGGAGGCCAAGGUGGAUGGAUCACCUGAGGUCAGGAUUUUGAGACCAGCAAGGCCAACAUGAUAAAACCCGAUCAUAAUAAAAAAUUUUAAAAAUUUAAAAAUAAA
rnacentral:snRNA from 1 species